rnacentral:rRNA from 1 species
AUUCCUACGGGAGUCAGCAGUGAGGAAUAUUGGACAAUGGGGGCAACCCUGAUCCAGCCAUGCCGCGUGAGUGAAGAAGGCCCUCGGGUUGUAAAGCUCUUUCAGUCGCGACGAUAAUGACGGUAGCGACAGAAGAAGCCCCGGCUAACUCCGUGCCAGCAGCCGCGGUAAUACGGAGGGGGCAAGCGUUGUUCGGAAUCACUGGGCGUAAAGCGUGCGCAGGCGGCCAAUCAAGUCAGAAGUGAAAUCCCGGGGCUCAACCCCGGAACUGCUUUUGAAACUGGUUGGCUUGAGUCCGGGAGAGGUGAGUGGAAUUCCCAGUGUAGAGGUGAAAUUCGUAGAUAUUGGGAGGAACACCAGUGGCGUAGGCGACUCACUGGCCCGGAACUGACGCUCAGGCACGAAAGCGUGGGGAGCAAACAGGAUUAGAUACCCUGGUAGUCCACGCCGUAAACGAUGUGUGCUAGCUGUCGGAGUCUACGGCUUCGGUGGCGCAGCUAACGCAUUAAGCACACCGCCUGGGAAGUACGGUCGCAAGAUUAAAACUCAAAGGAAUUGACGGA